GCUUAGAGAACAGGAAGUGGGAGCCACAUACCCCGAGCUGGCGGCUUGAGCCUGUGGUAUCUAGGCUCACCUCACUGCGGUUGGUGGAGGUGAUGGAGGUUGCAGCUUGGCCAGCAUGGUAGAAAGGUGGCAGGGUAGACUCUAGAUUCUAGAGGGCAACCUCUGUUUGCUCAUGCUGGAGCGUGGCAGGUGCACAAUGUUUCCUUGGGAAUCCUCAGCAGGGCACGUCUGGCUUUUACCACCCAGUUGCUUCGAGCCAGGAGAUGGAGGAGUCAUCUGUUGCACGCUGGAGGCUGGAGCCUGCAGAUGGCAUGGUUCUGUGGCUCACCUCGCUGCAGUUGGUGGCAGAGACAGAGACUGCAGCUUGACCAGAGUGGUGGAGUGAGUAUUGUCAUCUGCAUGAGCAAAUCUGGUUCAUCACAUCUUUGCAACAGGAAAAGGAAGGGAGGAUCAUGUGUAUAAUGUUUUAAGGCCAAGAUUCACAACAAGAACAAAGUCUUUAUUAACUUUUGCCUUCAAGAACCUGCAGUGUUGAGCCCUUUUUUAUUUCUGGUAUUACUACCUUUGGUUGGAGUGCAGUGGCAUGAUCUUGACUCACUGCAACCUCCACCUCCCGGGUUCAAGCCAUUCUCUUCCCUCAGCCUCCUCAGUAGCUGGAUUACAGGUACCUCCCACCACACCCAGGUAACUUUUUUGUGUUUUUUAGCAGAGAGAGUUCACCGUGUUGGCCAGGCUCAUCUCGAACUCC
rnacentral:lncRNA from 1 species